UACGUAGGGGGCAAGCGUUGUCCGGAUUUAUUGGGCGUAAAGAGCGCGUAGGCGGUCCGGUAAGUCCGCUGUGAAAGUCAAGGGCUCAACCCUUGAAUGCCGGUGGAUACUGUCGGGCUAGAGUGCGGAAGAGGCGAGUGGAAUUCCUGGUGUAGCGGUGAAAUGCGCAGAUAUCAGGAGGAACACCUAUUGCGAAGGCAGCUCGCUGGGACGUAACUGACGCUGAGACGCGAAAGCGUGGGGAGCAAACAGG
rnacentral:rRNA from 1 species